rnacentral:piRNA from 1 species
UGAAGUUGGCCUAAGCUCAGCUUGCAAUCC